rnacentral:rRNA from 1 species
AUUGAACGCUGGCGGCAUGCCUUACACAUGCAAGUCGAACGGCAGCACGGGAGCAAUCCUGGUGGCGAGUGGCGAACGGGUGAGUAAUAUAUCGGAACGUGCCCCAGUCGUGGGGGAUAACGUAGCGAAAGCUACGCUAAUACCGCAUACGCCCUGAGGGGGAAAGCGGGGGAUUCUUCGGAACCUCGCGCAAUUGGAGCGGCCGAUGUCAGAUUAGCUUGUUGGUGAGGUAAAGGCUCACCAAGGCGACGAUCUGUAGCGGGUCUGAGAGGAUGAUCCGCCACACUGGGACUGAGACACGGCCCAGACUCCUACGGGAGGCAGCAGUGGGGAAUUUUGGACAAUUGGGGGCAACCCUGAUCCAGCCAUGCCGCGUGAGUGAAGAAGGCCUUCGGGUUGUAAAGCUCUUUCAGCCGGGAAGAAAACGCACUCUCUAACAUAGGGUGUGGAUGACGGUACCGGAAGAAGAAGCACCGGCUAACUACGUG